rnacentral:rRNA from 1 species
UACGGGGGGGGCAAGCGUUGUUCGGAAUUACUGGGCGUAAAGGGCUCGUAGGCGGCCAACUAAGUCGGAUGUGAAAUCCCCAGGCUCAACUUGGGAACUGCAUCCGAUACUGGAUGGCUUGAAUUCGGGAGAGGGAUGCAGAAUUCCAGGUGUAGCGGUGAAAUGCGUAGAUAUCUGGAGGAAUACCGGUGGCGAAGGCGGCAUCCUGGACCGACAUUUGACGCUGAGGAGCGAAAAGCUAGGGGAGCAAACGGG